UAAUACUAAUUAUUAUAUAUCUACUUUUUUCACUAAUUCUUUUGAGGAUAAGCUCAAAGAGAAAGUUAAGAUAUUUAUGAUUAUAAGCCGUCGUGUGGGCUUAAAAUUGGCCACCACAAAAGUUUGUUAUAAAAUAACGGUUUCAACUCAAAAAAUAAAUAUAUUUUUAGUCUAACUUCUUACGGAAAUAAAACCUUUAACUAAAAUAAGUUUUAUGCCUAUGCUAGGAUGAGUAUUAUAAACUAAUAUUAAACAUGAAAAUAUUUCUUCAAUAAAAAUAUUUAAAUAAACUAAUUAAUUAAAAGGAACUCGGCAAAAUUAGUUGCUUCGCCUGUUUAUCAAAAACAUGGCUCUCUGCUUAUAUAAAUAUAGAGAGUCGAGCCUGCCCAGUGAAUUUUCAACGGCCGCGGUACUCUGACCGUGCAAAGGUAGCAUAAUCAUUUGCCUUAUAAUUGAAGGCUAGUAUGAAUGGUUUGACGAGAGCAACGCUGUCUCUUUUUUAUUUUCAAGAACUUAACUUUUAGGUGAAGAGGCCUAAAUUUUAUUGAAGGACAAGAAGACCCUGUCGAGCUUAAAAGAUACUAUAGAAGUACAUAUAUUUUUAAAUAAAUUUUCUAUUCAGCUUUUUAUUGGGGGCGACUAAGGAACAAAUAAAGCUUCUUAUUAAUAAUAAACACUCAUGUUUAGAUCCGGGAAUAACCGAUCAAAGGAAUUAGUUACCGCAGGGAUAACAGCAUAAUCUCUCUUGAGAGACCUAAUCGAAAGAGGGGGUUGUGACCUCGAUGUUGGACUAGAA
rnacentral:rRNA from 1 species